rnacentral:rRNA from 1 species
ACGCUCGACACCUACGGCAGGCAGCAGUGGGGAAUAUUGCACAAUGGGGGAAACCCUGAUGCAGCGACGCCGCGUGAGCGAAGAAGUAUUUCGGUAUGUAAAGCUCUAUCAGCAGGGAAGAUCAUGACGGUACCUGACUAAGAAGCUCCGGCUAAAUACGUGCCAACAGCCGCGGUAAUCUGAGCGGGCUGGCAAGGC